CCGCGGGUGUUGCGCAUGGGCAGCACGAGCCCGGCGAGCUCGGCGAUCGCGGCGGCCUGUGGUCCCGCGCAGUUCACGACCGCGUCCGCGAG
rnacentral:tRNA from 2 species